UUUGUCGUGUCUGGUAGUCGC
rnacentral:miRNA from 1 species